UGGGGAAUAUUGGACAAUGGGCGCAAGCCUGAUCCAGCCAUGCCGCGUGUGUGAAGAAGGCCUUAUGGUUGUAAAGCACUUUAAGCGAGGAGGAGGCUACUUUAGUUAAUACCUAGAGAUAGUGGACGUUACUCGCAGAAUAAGCACCGGCUAACUCUGUGCCAGCAGCCGCGGUAAUACAGAGGGUGCAAGCGUUAAUCGGAUUUACUGGGCGUAAAGCGCGCGUAGGCGGCUAAUUAAGUCAAAUGUGAAAUCCCCGAGCUUAACUUGGGAAUUGCAUUCGAUACUGGUUAGCUAGAGUGUGGGAGAGGAUGGUAGAAUUCCAGGUGUAGCGGUGAAAUGCGUAGAGAUCUGGAGGAAUACCGUUGGCGAAGGCAGCCAUCUGGCCUAACACUGACGCUGAGGUGCGAAAGCAUGGGGAGCAAACAGG
rnacentral:rRNA from 1 species